rnacentral:rRNA from 1 species
CAGUAGCCGCGGGAAUACGUAGGGUGCAAGCGUUAAUCGGAAUUACUGGGCGUAAAGCGUGCGCAGGCGGUUAUAUAUGACAGAUGUGAAAUCCCCGGGCUCAACCUGGGAACUGCAUUUGUGACUGUAUAGCUAGAGUACGGCAGAGGGGGAUGGAAUUCCGCGUGUAGCAGUGAAAUGCGUAGAUAUGCGGAGGAACACCGAUGGCGAAGGCAAUCCCCUGGGCCUGUACUGACGCUCAUGCACGAAAGCGUGGGGAGCAAACAGGAUUAGAUACCCCCGUAGUCCCUGUCUCUUAUAC